rnacentral:rRNA from 1 species
ACAAGCGGUGGAGCAUGUGGUUUAAUUCGACGCAACGCGAAGAACUUACCAGGGCUUGACAUCCCCUGACCGCGUAUGAAGUACGUUUUCACCCUCGGGUGACAGGGAGACAGGUGGUGCAUGGUUGUCGUCAGCUCGUGUCGUGAGAUGUUGGGUUAAGUCCCGCAACGAGCGCAACCCUUAUUGCUAGUUACCAUCAUUAAGUUGGGGACUCUAGCGAGACUGCCAGUGAUAAACUGGAGGAAGGUGGGGAUGACGUCAAAUCAUCAUGCCCCUUAUGACCUGGGCUACAAACGUGAUACAAUGGCUGAAACAAAGGGCAGCGAAGCAGUGAUGUGAAGCGAAACCCAAAAAAGCAGUCUCAGUUCGGAUUGAAGUCUGCAACUCGACUUCAUGAAGUCGGAAUCGCUAGUAAUCGCGAAUCAGAACGUCGCGGUGAAUACGUUCUCGGGGUUU